rnacentral:rRNA from 1 species
AACGUAGGAGACAAACGUUAUCCGGAGUUACUGGGCGUAAAGGGCGUGUAGGUGGUUUCGUAAGUCUGGCGUGAAAUUUUUCGGCUUAACCGGGAAAGGUCGUCGGAUACUGCGGGACUGGAGGACGGUAGAGGCGUGUGGAAUUCCGGGUGUAGUGGUGAAAUGCGUAGAGAUCCGGAGGAACACCAGUGGCGAAGGCGGCAUCCUGGACCGGUAUUGACGCUGAGGCGCGAAAGCCAGGGGAGCAAACGGG